rnacentral:rRNA from 1 species
GAAGGGUGGCAAGCGUUGUUCGGAAUCACUGGGCUUAAAGCGCGCGUAGGCGGAAAUUCAAGUGUCUUGUGAAAUCCCUCGGCUUAACCGAGGAAUUGCUUGGCAAACUGAAUUUCUUGAGGCAAGUAGGGGUACAUGGAACUCUUGGUGGAGCGGUGGAAUGCGUAGAUAUCAAGAGGAACGCCGAAGGUGAAGACAGUGUACUGGGCUUGUCCUGACGCUGAGGUGCGAAAGCGUGGGGAGCGAACGGGAUUAGAUACCCCGGUAGUCCACGCCGUAAACGAUGUCUACUAGGUUGUGGAGGUUCUGACACCCUCACAGUCGAAGCAAAAGUGUUAAGUAGACCGCCUGGGGAGUACGGUCGCAAGGCUA